GGUAGGGGAGCGUUCUGUAAGCCUGCGAAGGUGUGCUGUGAGGCAUGCUGGAGGUAUCAGAAGUGCGAAUGCUGACAUAAGUAACGAUAAAGCGGGUGAAAAGCCCGCUCGCCGGAAGACCAAGGGUUCCUGUCCAACGUUAAUCGGGGCAGGGUGAGUCGACCCCUAAGGCGAGGCCGAAAGGCGUAGUCGAUGGGAAACAGGUUAAUAUUCCUGUACUUGGUGUUACUGCGAAGGGGGGACGGAGAAGGCUAUGUUGGCCGGGCGACGGUUGUCCCGGUUUAAGCGUGUAGGCUGGUUUUCCAGGCAAAUCCGGAAAAUCAAGGCUGAGGCGUGAUGACGAGGCACUACGGUGCUGAAGCAACAAAUGCCCUGCUUCCAGGAAAAGCCUCUAAGCAUCAGGUAACAUCAAAUCGUACCCCAAACCGACACAGGUGGUCAGGUAGAGAAUACCAAGGCGCUUGAGAGAACUCGGGUGAAGGAACUAGGCAAAAUGGUGCCGUAACUUCGGGAGAAGGCACGCUGAUAUGUAGGUGAAGUCCCUCGCGGAUGGAGCUGAAAUCAGUCGAAGAUACCAGCUGGCUGCAACUGUUUAUUAAAAACACAGCACUGUGCAAACACGAAAGUGGACGUAUACGGUGUGACGCCUGCCCGGUGCCGGAAGGUUAAUUGAUGGGGU
rnacentral:rRNA from 1 species